GAUGAAGAACGUAGCGAAAUGCGAUAAGUAAUGCGAAUUGCAGAAUUUCCGUGAAUCAUCGAAUCUUUGAACGCACAUUGCACCCGGUGGUAUUCCGCCGGGUAUGCCUGUCUGAGCGUCAUUUCAACCCUCAAGCCCCGCUUGGUGUUGGCGGAUCGCCCGCUGCGGCGACCGCUGAAAAUUAAUGGCGGUAGCGCCCACAACCCCUGUAGAGUAAAAAUUCUUACAGCGGGUCUGCGGGAUCCCACCAGCCUCGAAACCCCCAAGAAAUGAAAGUUGACCUCAGAUCAGGUAGGAAUACCCGCUGAACUUAAGCAUAUCAAUAAGCGGAGGA
rnacentral:misc_RNA from 1 species